AUCAAUACCUGAGAAGCAGAUUUAUCUAUGAGACUGGCAUUUCAAUUCGUACAAGUGCAUCUGGAACACCCAAAAUAGGGACCACACGUCGCAAUUUUAGUUUCCAUCUUAGAUUAUAUGAUUAUGGAAUCACGUGUUUGUUGUUUGAUCUGCUUGUUUUUCUAACCUUUAAAACCGACCCAAAUCGGUUACAAAGAUUGUUUUGCAAUUGUUUACCGGUUUUAAUGGUUAAAUUGCUAAAAUAAAAUAAAAAUAAAAAAAAUUCAAAAUUAACCUUUUUAUCAAUAAAACCAAAAUAUAAAUAUCCUUUUUUAUAGAUUCUCCAAAAUAAAAAUAUCAAUCAUUUUGUAGUUUUUGCAAGCUAAGUCACAUAGCAUGUUAAACAUUUCAAACAACAAACACGUGAUUCCAUAAUCUAUAAGGUACAUCAGGUACAGGAAGCAGCCUUUUGUCAAGGGCAUUUUCCAGCUCACAAGAUCUUGACGAGAUAAUUAAUGGGCUGUAAAAUUAAUUGAGGAAAUGGUUAAAUUGUAAAAUGCAUGAAGUUAUAAUGUCUUAAAAAUGUAAAAAUGGAAGAAUAAAG
rnacentral:lncRNA from 1 species